rnacentral:rRNA from 1 species
AUUGAACGCUGCGGCAGGCUUAACACAUGCAAGUCGAGCGAGCGGCGGACGGGCGGGUGAUGCUUAGGCGUCUGCCUGUUAGUGGGGGACGACAUCUCGCAGGGGAUGCUAAUUCCGCAUACUUAUAGUUGAGCCUAAGUCGGAGUAGGUAGUUGGUGGGGUAAAGGCCUACCAAGGCGACGAUCGGUAGCGGGGCUGAGAGGAUGAACCGCCACCCUGGGAAUGAGACACGGCCCAGACUCCGACGGGAGGCAGCAAGGGGGAAUAUUGGACCAAGGGGGGAAAGCUGAUUGAGCCAUGCCGGGGGUGGGAAGAAGGCCUUACGGUUGGAAAGGACUGUAAGCGAGGAGGCGUUACUCGCAGAAUAAGCACCGGCUAACUCCGUGCCAGCAGCCGCGGUAAUAC